rnacentral:rRNA from 1 species
CGAACUGUGCGAACGUUAUUCGGAAUCACUGGGCUUAAAGGGUGCGUAGGCGGUUUUCUAAGUCACGUGUGAAAUCUUCCGGCUCAACCGGAAAACUGCGCGUGAUACUGGAAGACUUGAGUGAGGUAGGGGUGUGUGGAACUUCCGGUGGAGCGGUGAAAUGUGUAGAGAUCGGAAGGAACGCCAGCAGCGAAAGCGGCACACUGGGCCUUAUCUGACGCUGAGGCACGAAAGCUAGGGGAGUGAACGGGAUUAGAUACCCCGGUAAUCCUAGCCGUAAACACUGAACACUGGAGGACGGGGGCUUCGGCCUUCGUUCUCGUAGCGAAAGCGUUAAGUGUUCCGCCUGGGGAGUAUGGUCGCAAGGCUG